CACACGGCAACAUAUCAGAAGGCAGUGCACACGGUAACAUAUCAGAAGUCAGUGCACAUGGUAACAUAUCAGAAGGCAGUGCACACGGUAACAUAUCAGAAGGCAGUGCACACGGUAACAUAUCAGAAGGCAGUGCACACGGUAACAUAUCAGAAGGCAGUGCACACGGUAACAUAUCAGAAGGCAGUGCACACAGUAGCAUAUCAGAAGGCAGUGCACACGGUAACAUAUCAGAAGGCAGUGCACACGGUAACAUAUCAGGUCAGUGCACACGGUAACAUAUCAGAGGUCAGUGCACACGGUAGCAUAUCAGAAGGCAGUGCACACGGUAACAUAUCAGAAGGCAGUGCACACGGUAGCAUAUCAGGUCAGUGCACACGGUAGCAUAUCAGGUCAGUGCACACGGUAGCAUAUCAGAAGUCAGUGCACACAGUAGCAUAUCAGAAGUCAGUGCACACGGUAGCAUAUCAGAAGGCAGUGCACACGGUAGCAUAUCAGAAGGCAGUGCACACAGUAACAUAGCAGAGGUCAGUGCACACGGUAGCAUAUCAGAGGUCAGUGCACACGGUAGCAUAUCAGAAGGCAGUGCACACGGUAACAUAUCAGAAGGCAGUGCACACGGUAGCAUAUCAGAAGGCAGUGCACACGGUAGCAUAUCAGAAGGCAGUGCACACAGUAACAUAGCAGAGGUCAGUGCACACAGUAACAUAGCAGAGGUCAGUGCACACGGUAGCAUAUCAGAAGGCAGUGCACACGGUAGCAUAUCAGGUCAGUGCACACGGUAGCAUAUCAGAAGGCAGUGCACACGGUAGCAUAUCAGGUCAGUGCACACGGUAGCAUAUCAGAAGGCAGUGCACACGGUAACAUAUCAGAAGGCAGUGCACACGGCAACAUAUCAGAAGGCAGUGCACACGGUAACAUAUCAGAAGGCAGUGCACACGGUAACAUAUCAGAAGUCAGUGCACACGGUAACAUAUCAGAGGUCAGUGCACACGGUAGCAUAUCAGAAGGCAGUGCACACGGUAACAUAUCAGAAGGCAGUGCACACGGUAGCAUAUCAGGUCAGUGCACACGGUAGCAUAUCAGGUCAGUGCACACGGUAGCAUAUCAGAAGUCAGUGCACACAGUAGCAUAUCAGAAGUCAGUGCACACGGUAGCAUAUCAGAAGGCAGUGCACACGGUAGCAUAUCAGAAGGCAGUGCACACAGUAACAUAGCAGAGGUCAGUGCACACGGUAGCAUAUCAGAGGUCAGUGCACACGGUAGCAUAUCAGAAGGCAGUGCACACGGUAACAUAUCAGAAGGCAGUGCACACGGUAGCAUAUCAGGUCAGUGCACACGGUAGCAUAUCAGAAGGCAGUGCACACGGUAACAUAGCAGAGGUCAGUGCACACGGUAGCAUAUCAGAAGGCAGUGCACACGGUAGCAUAUCAGAAGUCAGUGCACACAGUAACAUAGCAGAGGUCAGUGCACACAGUAACAUAGCAGAGGUCAGUGCACACGGUAACAUAUCAGAAGGCAGUGCACACGGUAACAUAUCAGAAGGCAGUGCACACGGUAGCAUAUCAGAAGUCAGUGCACACGGUAGCAUAUCAGGUCAGUGUACACGGUAGCAUAUCAGAAGUCAGUGCACACGGUAACAUAUCAGAAGUCAGUGCACACGGUAGCAUAUCAGAAGUCAGUGCACACGGUAGCAUAUCAGGUCAGUGCACACGGUAGCAUAUCAGGUCAGUGUACACGGUAGCAUAUCAGAAGUCAGUGCACACGGUAACAUAUCAGAAGGCAGUGCACACGGUAACAUAUCAGAAGGCAGUGCACACGGUAGCAUAUCAGAAGUCAGUGCACACGGUAGCAUAUCAGGUCAGUGUACACGGUAACAUAUCAGAAGUCAGUGCACACGGUAACAUAUCAGAAGGCAGUGCACACGGUAACAUAUCAGAAGGCAGUGCACACGGUAGCAUAUCAGGUCAGUGCACACGGUAGCAUAUCAGGUCAGUGUACACGGUAGCAUAUCAGAAGUCAGUGCACACGGUAACAUAUCAGAAGUCAGUGCACACGGUAGCAUAUCAGAAGUCAGUGCACACGGUAGCAUAUCAGGUCAGUGUACACGGUAGCAUAUCAGGUCAGUGUACACGGUAGCAUAUCAGGUCAGUGCACACGGUAGCAUAUCAGAAGGCAGUGCACACGGUAGCAUAUCAGGUCAGUGCACACGGUAGCAUAUCAGGUCAGUGCACACGGUAGCAUAUCAGGUCAGUGCACACGGUAGCAUAUCAGAAGUCAGUGCACACGGUAACAUAUCAGAAGUCAGUGCACACGGUAGCAUAUCAGAAGGCAGUGCACACGGUAGCAUAUCAGAAGGCAGUGCACACGGUAGCAUAUCAGGUCAGUGUACACGGUAGCAUAUCAGAAGUCAGUGCACACGGUAACAUAUCAGAAGUCAGUGCACACGGUAGCAUAUCAGGUCAGUGUACACGGUAGCAUAUCAGGUCAGUGCACACGGUAGCAUAUCAGGUCAGUGCACACGGUAACAUAUCAGAAGUCAGUGCACACGGUAGCAUAUCAGGUCAGUGUACACGGUAGCAUAUCAGGUCAGUGCACACGGUAGCAUAUCAGGUCAGUGCACACGGUAGCAUAUCAGGUCAGUGCACACGGUAGCAUAUCAGAAGCAGUGAUGGCCAGUUUGCAUUGUUCGCCUGCGAACACAUGGGGGCUGCCAUCUUAACUCACAAGUCCGGCGAUGCACAGGUAAGCCCUUACUUGUGCCGCGAGCCGGUCUGAAAACAAAUGCGGUCACCGGGAGCAAGCAGUUCCAAGAACAGCCCGAUGAAGGCCCCCGGCGGCUGUUUUCCGAACUGCUUGCUCCCGCUGACCACAUUUGUUUCAGACCGGCUCGCAGCACAGGCACAGGUAAGGGCUUACCUGUGCAUCGCCGGACUCGUGAGUUAAGAUGGCAGCCCGCAUGCGAACAUGGCGAACUGGCCAUCACUGAUCAGAAGUCAGUGCACACGGUAACAUAUCCCAGGUCCGAUGUGUUUUUAUGUGUUGCAGGCACCAGAUGGGAUCGCCCUGUGCAGACUGUGCUCUCUAUAUAAAGCACAAUUCUAGGAGUCAGAAUGUCGGCACUUUUGGGCACUUUUAGGCCACCUUCACACGUUGCGGAAUAUGUACAGUUUAUCCGUGUAGAAAAAACACAGGAUAGUACGGCACCAGUGAAGGGAUGCGAUUACACAGAUCUCACGUACACUUUGCAGAUUUUUUUCCUGAGCGGAAAUUGACCUGCAUUGUGGAUUUGAAAAUCUGCAGCAUGUCAAUUAUGUUUCCGGUUUUAGCGGCAAUUUCACCCUUUUCAAUGGAAGAGUGAGAUCGGCGACAAAACCGCAUCAUAU